rnacentral:rRNA from 1 species
AUACAGAGGGUGCGAGCGUUAAUCGGAAUUACUGGGCGUAAAGCGCGCGUAGGCGGCUUAUUAAGUCAGAUGUGAAAUCCCCGGGCUCAACCUGGGAACUGCAUCUGAUACUGGUAAGCUAGAGUUUUGGAGAGGGAAGUAGAAUUUCAGGUGUAGCGGUGAAAUGCAUAGAGAUCUGAAGGAAUACCAGUGGCGAAGGCGACUUCCUGGCCAAAAACUGACGCUGUGGUGCGAAAGCGUGGGUAGCAAACGGGAUUAGAAACCCUAGUAGUCC